rnacentral:rRNA from 1 species
GAUGAACGCUGGCGGCGUGCCUAAUACAUGCAAGUCGAGCGAACAGACGAGGAGCUUGCUCCUCUGACGUUAGCGGCGGACGGGUGAGUAACACGUGGAUAACCUACCUAUAAGACUGGGAUAACUUCGGGAAACCGGGGCUAAUACCGGAUAAUAUAUUGAACCGCAUGGUUCAAUAGUGAAAGACGGUUUUGCUGUCACUUAUAGAUGGAUCCGCGCCGCAUUAGCUAGUUGGUAAGGUAACGGCUUACCAAGGCAACGAUGCGUAGCCGACCUGAGAGGGUGAUCGGCCACACUGGAACUGAGACACGGUCCAGACUCCUACGGGAGGCAGCAGUAGGGAAUCUUCCGCAAUGGGCGAAAGCCUGACGGAGCAACGCCGCGUGAGUGAUGAAGGUCUUCGGAUCGUAAAACUCUGUUAUUAGGGAAGAACAAAUGUGUAAGUAACUAUGCGCGUCUUGACGGUACCUAAUCAGAAAGCCACGGCUAACUACGUG